rnacentral:rRNA from 1 species
UACGUAGGGUGCGAGCGUUGUCCGGAAUUAUUGGGCGUAAAGGGCUCGUAGGCGGUUUGUCGCGUCGGGAGUGAAAACACCGGGCUUAACUCGGUGCUUGCUUUCGAUACGGGCAGACUAGAGGCAUGCAGGGGAGAACGGAAUUCCUGGUGUAGCGGUGAAAUGCGCAGAUAUCAGGAGGAACACCGGUGGCGAAGGCGGGUCUCUGGGCCGUAACUGGACGCUGGAGGAAGCGGAAAGCAUGGGGAGCGAA